UUUUUCUUCUCGUAUUAUUUAGAUCUUUUUCUUAAGACCAGCAAGAUCCGGCUAUAUAUGUUUCCACAAAAUCAACACAAUAUGGCUCCCGUGUAUGAUCUUAUUUGUCAACCUUUUAUGCUUUAGAAAUGUUUAGAUAAGAGAAUGUUUCGAAGUAAAUGUAUGUUAUUUGAUUAUACUUUUCUUUCUUUGGUUAGAAUGAUAUACUAAGAAGGAACCCUGCAAAUCACUAACUUAAUUUGUGAAUAUAUACCCAAUACAAUUGUGUGAUUAGGUGUCUAAAGUAUUUGAAUGCUUGUGUACAUAUCUUUCAUUGUGUAGAUAUAUGAUUUUUUGGGUACUGAUAUUCUUUCCGUUGUAUACAGGGAUUCUUUGUUAUUCUUUCAUGGAUGCCUAUAUAUUUUAAAACAUCAAUUGGUUUUGUUGGUCCUGGGAUUGCGCUCAAUGGUCUAACCAUGGCAAAGCACACAUCAAUAGCAUCUGCUUGGCUUACUUUAGCUGUUGGGCUAAAAUCAUUUAGUCAUUGUGAGUUCCUUGUGAAUCUUCAGGUCUCUUAAGAAGUAAGGUUUCAAAGGACAAUUUAAAGGAGGAGGUAUCCCAUGAACUCGUAGAUCGCCGUUUUGGUAAGUCCCGCUUGUUUUAUGUUUUUAUUUUUCUAAUGUUGGUUAGUAUAUACUAGUUAAAGCAUAACAAUUUCACUAAUUAUUAACUAAGAUUUAACAAGUUCGAAGAUGUAUUUAAUGAAAAUAGAUUCAUUAGUUACUUCUUAGUUAGCAUGAUCCUUAUUAAAAUACACAUUAACCAAAAUAGAGACAAAAUUAGGUGUAUAUUUUUUUGUGUAUUUUUGCUAGGUAGUGUUGGAGUUGCUCUAAUUUAGUGAUGUGAUUAAUAGGAGCUUGUCAUGUAUAAAGGAACUUUUGGUUGUUAAGCUAGACUCAUUGUGUACACAAUUUGUAUUGACAUGGAUAAAGAGGUCUAUACAAUGUAAUUGAUAAUAUCUUAAUUUUUUUUUUUUUUUGUUUA